rnacentral:rRNA from 1 species
GAUGAACGCUGGCGGCGUGCCUAAUACAUGCAAGUCGAGCGAACGGACGAGAAGCUUGCUUCUCUGAUGUUAGCGGCGGACGGGUGAGUAACACGUGGAUAACCUACCUAUAAGACUGGGAUAACUUCGGGAAACCGGGGCUAAUACCGGAUAAUAUUUUGAACCGCAUGGUUCAAAAGUGAAAGACGGUCUUGCUGUCACUUAUAGAUGGAUCCGCGCUGCAUUAGCUAGUUGGUAAGGUAACGGCUUACCAAGGCAACGAUGCAUAGCCGACCUGAGAGGGUGAUCGGCCACACUGGAGCUGAGACACGGUCCAGACUCCUACGGGAGGCAGCAGUAGGGAAUCUUCCGCAAUGGGCGAAAGCCUGACGGAGCAACGCCGCGUGAGUGAUGAAGGUCUUCGGAUCGUAAAACUCUGUUAUUAGGGAAGAACAUAUGUGUAAGUAACUGUGCACAUCUUGACGGUACCUAAUCAGAAAGCCACGGCUAACUACGUG